GGGGAUGUAAUGGUUUCGACAGGGAUGACGAUCUUUUGUAAGCGAGCCGUGUUUCUUGAUCUGGGGUACACGUUAAAGAACUGGAUCACUUAAACACAAACGCAAACAAUAAAUUUGCAUUAGCAGCGUAAGCUGCGUCACCUCUUGGCCUUGUCUCAGCCGCUGAGAAUCCGUGACCUAACCCCUGCUGGGGCCUCGGUAUAUGAUGCUUUUCUAAUCUAAUGCUGUAGUACAAUAGAAAUAGCCUAUGGACUUGUGUGUCGCUACACGUGACCUGUGGCGAAACCUUAAUUAGCGACUGCGCUCGGAGAAAGUGAAAGUGAAUU
rnacentral:tmRNA from 1 species